UACGUAGGGGGCAAGCGUUAUCCGGAAUCACUGGGUGUAAAGGGAGCGUAGACGGCAGGGCAAGCCUGGAGUGAAAGGCGGGGGCCCAACCCCCGGACUGCUCUGGGAACUGCCCGGCUUGAGUGCAGGAGAGGUAAGUGGAAUUCCUAGUGUAGCGGUGAAAUGCGUAGAUAUUAGGAGGAACACCAGUGGCGAAGGCGGCUUACUGGACUGUAACUGACGUUGAGGCUCGAAAGCGUGGGGAGCAA
rnacentral:rRNA from 1 species